UGCGAGUGCUCGAACCCAUCUGAUCUCGGAAGUUAAGCA
rnacentral:rRNA from 12 species